rnacentral:rRNA from 1 species
AUACGGAGGAUGCGAGCGUUAUCCGGAUUUAUUGGGUUUAAAGGGUGCGUAGGCUGUGCGUUAAGUCAGGGGUAAAAUGCCGUCGCUCAACGACGGAGCUGCCCUUGAUACUGGCGUGCUGGAGUACGGAUGCCGUUGGAGGAAUGAGUGGUGUAGCGGUGAAAUGCUUAGAUAUCACUCAGAACACCGAUUGCGAAGGCAUCGGACGAAUCCGUCACUGACGCUGAGGCACGAAAGCGUGGGGAUAGAACAGGAUUAGAUCCCCUGGUAUGCCACGCCGUAAACGAUGAUGACUAACCGUCGGCGAUAUGCAGCCGGUGGCCAAGCGAAAGCUAUAAGUCAUCCACCUGGGGAGUACGUCGGCAACGAUGAAACUCAAAGGAAUUGACGGGG